UUUGUGACGGUCACUGCUGCAAGAAUGCAACCGAAUUGGAGCUGAGAAAGAAGUCCACCGGCGAAUUUGAACGUCUGUUGCAUCAUCACACCAACAGCUUGUGCGGCAUACUGGAAUCUACAGCGAAUCCAUUUCAAAGACAUUUCCUAGUCCUAAAGGAAUAAUCAGAAAAUAAUACCCUGACGGUCUUUUCAUACAUAAGUGCAUCGAGGCAUGGUAUCAAAAUCGAGCAAAUUGAUCCAAAAAUUCAGAAACCAUGAUACAUUUGGGUAAUGCGAAUAGCAACAGCAUCAACAGCGGGCCUUAAGGAAGAUGCCAUUCAAAAAUUCCCUGGUAAAAAUUUUUUCCGAUGGCCUAUUACUUGAUUACGGAUUACGUCAAUUACUUGAAGGAUACGUUCAACAAUAUACAGUCAUUUGACAGGAUAUCAAAGGAGAUCAAUUCUUCAUAAAUUCAUUGCAAAAGAGCGCUGAGGUUCUCAGCUAAACCGGUUAGUUGUAGAUGUAAAAGACAACGUAUAAGUUAGAGAUAAUGUAACAGUAGUAAACUAGAUGUAACAGAGAACAUUUAAAUUAGAGAAGGUUCAACUGCCUACCAGCGUAUACAUUUUUAAAAGUUAAGAAAAUGUGUUGAGCGCAUUUCACCACCACCACCAGCAGGAAGAAGAAAUUUUAACAGAGCGACGUGAACAGAAAUGAGCAUUGAAUGUUAUUAUGGCCAUAGGUUUUCUUUGAUAUUAUAACCGGUUGUUAGUCCUUUGGCUUAUAUUUUANUACAUUUAUAUGCCAUCAUAUACAUUAGUAUGAAUAUCGUUAGGCGAAUAUUUAUGAAAGCGAGUUAUCUUCUAAAAAUUGGCAAGGACGCUACUUAAUUCUAGUGAGUUAGUAAACAGAGCUGUUUUACUUCUUAUUCCUUUAUACAAUAUUUUGUUUACGCCUAAAUAAAAAAAAAACAGCUUAUAUUCUAGGAAGCGCAGAGUUUAGGUAUUAGAUCAUGUGCUUCCUAAUUCUAUGAUUUAUGUUUUUAUUUAUGUAUUAUCUCCAUAUGUCGUUUAUAAAUCUUUGAUAUUUUUCAACCCGAAAGGCAUUCUGACGUAUUCAUAUAUUUAGUACUGCCGGAGAAACAAAAACUGUUUUCUUGAUGCCAUUAAAAUCUAAUGGUAACUUUUUACUAAAUCUAUAGGGCUAAAGUACUGUGCCUUGCUCAAUUUAUUCAAGCAUCCUUUGUUAUUUGAUAAAGGAUAAAGUUUUUGGUAUAAGACAUUCUUGAAUGGUUUCUACUUUCUUUUCAUCUAACAAAAUUGUAUUAUGGGCAAACUUGUAUCCUGAAAAUUCAAUACUGGUCUUAAAAACUCCGAUUUAUCCAGUGAAAUUUUCUUACAAUUAUAGACUUAGCGUGUAAGUCUAUCUUCCAAUUUGUAUAAUAGACUUUGUUUUUUAUGUUAACAAAUCGUGGUUUAUUAAAGAGCUGCAAGAGAACUUAGAAUAAUGUCGUUUUAUUUUGGACUUCAGUUCCUUAGAUUUUUCUGUAGUCCUGNAUUCCUUCCUGUCACGUAGUCCGUGUAUAUCACACACAUUUACUCUUUCGAACACACUUAUCUAGACAAACUGAACUGAGCUGAACUGAACUGCAAUUGAACUUUUACUAUGCCUUUUAUACUUUCGAGAUUUGAUUAUUUUUAAAUCUGUUAGCAAAGCAUCAAA
rnacentral:lncRNA from 1 species